rnacentral:rRNA from 1 species
UACGUAGGGUGCGAGCGUUGUCCGGAAUUAUUGGGCGUAAAGAGCUCGUAGGCGGCUCGGUAAGUCGGAUGUGAAAACUCGGGGCUCAACCCCGAGACGCCAUCCGAUACUGCUGUGGCUUGAGUCUGGUAGGGGAGAACGGAAUUCCUGGUGUAGCGGUGAAAUGCGCAGAUAUCAGGAGGAACACCGGUGGCGAAGGCGGUUCUCUGGGCCAGUACUGACGCUGAGGAGCGAAAGCGUGGGUAGCAAACAGG